rnacentral:lncRNA from 1 species
AGACCUCAUUAUCUAGAUAGUUGUAAAUAUCCAGGGUCCAUGGUUGAAAAUUACAAAAAAAAUAGGAUACAUUGUUGCACAAUACUAGCCUUGGAUAUUUGAUCACACAAUGUCGGUCUAGGAUAUCCAUGUACCCGAGGGUCGACCUGAACCCACAAGGAAUCUUUGGACCAACCACCGAUCCAUAAGGUAUCUUAGAGAGAGAAAGGAAGAGAUAGUAGAGAGAGAAGGGAAAAGAAGAGAGAGAAAGAUAGG